rnacentral:lncRNA from 1 species
UUCCGCGGCACGCCGUCGCCCUUUGCCACUCCUUCCUGCUCCGAGAGCCGCUGCAGCCCCCGGGUUCGAGCGGGGCCCCACGAGGGCACGCCGCCACCCCGCGAGCGGGCCCCAAACGCCCGGCCCCUCGAUGCAGGCCGCGGGUCUCUGCCCGCGUCCCCCGACAGCAGAGAGAGGAGAGCGCGGAGUUCGCCCGGCGAGGCGGCUCCCCGCCCCGUCCCCUCGCAGCCGCUCCGUGUGCUUUUCCAAAGGAACGUUAAUGCCCCCGGGCUGUCCGCUGCUGCCUCCGCGUUGGCUGCCAGAUGGAUCCCGUUGCGUGCUCCUGGGAAAGCCCUAAGGCAACACUCAAGACUGCAGUGCUGGUGAAGUCCUAGUCUGGCAGAGCCUGAGCACCAUGCCGUGUCUUGUCUCAAGGUCCAUGCAAUGCUGCACGACUUCUUUCCAACAUCUGAAGGAAUGUAAGGUGAUGUAUUUUUUUCUCGUGUUAUCUCCAGGUGUUUUAACUUUAAUCAAUGCCUUGCAGAAUCUGGGCCCCUUUCUUAGGGGAUCUGGAAGGAGCAGUCACCCCUGCACUUUACAUCUGGUGUUGUUGGCAGGAUCCUACCUGCCUUGAAGGCACUGCCAAUACCCUGGUUGGGGCUGCAGGGAGGAGAGUGGUGGGGA